AAGGUGCCACAGGACCCUCUGUUGCUUUUUACAGAUUCAGACUAACACGGCUACCCCUCUGAUACUGAGCGAACCAGGCACUUAUAAGAGCAGUUUGGUUUUAUCCUUAGCUAUAGCUUGGACUAUUCAUUACCUGGGAAGGUUAGACUGACUAUGCAGGUGGGGACAGGAAGGUUCCCCCAGGACAUGCUGGCAGGAAGCUGGGGGUAUUUGUUGUUCUCUGGAUCAAAACCCCCGUUGGAGUUGGGCCUUGGGGGUUGGGAUACCUAUAACUUACAUUUUCUUUUUUGAAUGCAGGAUCCAAGGAGGAGAUCCAAGAUGUGUACGAACAUUCUGUUUAAUGAAAGAUGAACUCCUCUGCCUACUACAGAGAGCCAGAGUGGACAAAACAUUCAGGAAACGAACAAGAACUGGAAUCAGUGACUUAUUUCCUGUAUCUCUGAGCAGGCACGGACAGCACACACUGAUCAGAAGACACUCUGGGGGCAUGGACUUACUCAUUCCAACCCUGUGUCCAGUGUUCGUUAUCUGGAGAGCCUGCUGGGUAGACAUAAACCGGUAUUUUGGCAUGGUCACAAACCUGUGGGAGUUUGGAGGCUUUUGGAAAUGGGCAGACCUAUGAGACUAAAAGCUGCAGAGAUGACAUUAUAUAGCCAAAUAGCUUCUGCCUUUUUCAUUUCCUCACUUAGGUCAAAGUCAGGCCAGCCUACUUCACUAACCCUGAAUACUCUUAUUUCUCAAACUUAAACACAAGAUACUCUCUUCCAUUUCUACACUGCAGGAGCUCUCUUAGGUCCUGACCCUGCAAGAUGCUUCCAUUGACUGCAGUGGGAAUUGAGGGUCCCUGCCACUUGGCAAUUAACUAUCCUUCAGCUGAGGCCAGGGUGGGGACAACUUGUAGUUUUGCCGAUACUAGGAUCCAGCUGGAGGAGCAGUGAGGACAUUCAGGAUUCUGCUAGCAUUUCCAGGAAAGAGCUGGGGCUGAGAAUCUUCGCAGAAUCCAUUACGUUACCUGGAAAUGUUAUUAGAUUCCUCAUUCAUCACUUAAGUCUUUGCUUAAUUAUCAAAGUAGUUAUAAAGGCCAGCCCUGUAACUGUGCUGAGUAGCUCACUUGUGGUGCAUGUUUCAAAGCCUCUCUAAGCAUCUUUUUGGAAAGCAUGGGAAUCAUGGAGAAAUGAGAGACUAUCCUCUUAAUCCAUGAGCCAGCCUGGGUCCUCCUUCUCUGCCUUCCUCAUCGUGAUCAUUGCCAUCGUCAUCACAUGACACAGUGAGACGCACACUGAAGUCCCCGGGAAAGCAUCUGGGACAGUAAAUGCUCAGUAGAGCCCCAUCCCAACUAACAUUUCUGGAAACUUACGCUCUUUUCAGUGACCUGCAAAAAAAUUCUUCAAAAUCA